UGCCAGUCUCCUCCGGGAAGGGCCUCUCUUUCCAUUCCUACAGCUCCCCCUCCUCGAGACCCCGGGAGGCCCAGCCUCCCCAAUCCGAGCCCCCCCCCCAGCUCCGAAGACCCCCGCGGAGCAAGGAAGAGGCCUCCGCAGAAUGAAUGCCUGGAAAAGAGGUUUUAAAUCUGUCUGCACCCCAAGGAAAAGGCCUCACUCAGAGCAGCGUCCCUGCCUCACCUCGUCUAACAAGCCUCUACCUUCCCGGUGGGCACUGCCGCUCACCGCCCUAGGCCGGGUCCACCGGGACAGUUGGGCGGAGGCAACUAGCACUGCUGUGGAAUUGUUCAUUCUUGAGGAACUCAGGAGAAGACACAAAGAGGCUAGAGACCGGGCUCUGUCCAGGUCAUAGCCCCUCACAGAGCAAGGACAUGGCAAGAUGUAAAGAGCAUAGGAAGGUCUUGAGUGGGGACAAAAAAAAUGUGCCAUCAAUAUUAAAAUCACACCAAGAGAACAUCCCCUUGGCUGGAGACAAUUCAAAGAGCCUCCCCUGGGAGAGGUCAUCCUAUCAUGGUCCUUGGUGGGAAAUGGCUGAAGAUAAACCUUCAUGGAGUCCAAAGUACAGGAAGGAAGUGACAAAGGACAGAAAGGAAGCAGAAGACACUGAGAAUCUACACCAAGGGAAGGGGCCCCAGGAACUGGAGGAAGGAGCAGAAAUGGAAGGAUCAAGGUACCACAAAGCCACCAUGUCACCUGGGAGCAGGAGAGUGGUCCUCACUCAGUGCGGCCCACACUGAACUGCACAAGAGUCUGUGGAUGAGACAAUACCCCCACACUGGCUAAGAAAUGUGAAAACAGCUGAAGAAGAAAUAAAGCAAAAGAGAAAAAUGAGGAAAAGAGGGUAAACAAAGAGAGAAUUCACCUUUCUUUGGCCUGCGAAGUCCUCAGUUGGAG
rnacentral:lncRNA from 1 species